ensembl:lncRNA LINC01547 long intergenic non-protein coding RNA 1547
ACCCGGAAGCGGCUCGGGCGGGCGCAGGGUCGCGGGUGUAGGGUGGCGGCGCUCCGCCUUUCACCGACGCACCUGGGAGAAACAGACCGGAGGACGCGGGUGGCGCGGAGCACGAGAAACAACGAGUUUCUGUCUAGAUCGUGGGGGACCCAAGCCCGGGGUUGCGUCCAAGGUCGGGGAUGGAGAGGACGCGACCCCCGCGGCAGUCGAGAUGGCCUUUUUAAAAUUCUAUAUUUGAGAAGGAGUCUCGCGCUGUCGCCCAGGCUGGAGCGCAAUGGCGCGAAAUCGGCUCAUUGCAGCCUCGACGUCCAGGACUCGAGCGAUCCUCCCGCCUCAGCCUCUCGAGAAGGAGUGGCCAGAAGGCUCCUCUCCAGGCCUCACAGAGGGAAACACUGGUCUAGUGAGAGACCUGCGUCCUGCCCAUCAGGACCGAAGCGGCACGCGUGAGGAUCCUGCAGGCCAAGAGACAACAGCGAUUACAAACCCCAGUCCCAGCCUUGCAGCUGACCUUGCAGGUGACGCCCUGCCUGGGUGUCUCGGUGCAGCUGCACAUCAGGGGCCUCUGCUGGACAGAAGCUCUGAGUCCACACUUGGCCCCCAGGCGCUGGAGCUGGAGCACUGCCACGAGAGGGGAUGCUGCCGUGGCUGCGCCAGCUUCAGCCCUUUCCCUGCACCGAGAUGUCCCAGUGAGCGGCUGGGUGCUCACAGUUCCCGUUGGGCCAUCAGAGGAAGAUCAAAGAUCAACCCUCCCCCAUGGGCUCCUGCCUGCCUGCCAGGUGGGUUUCCUGCCUGUCUCCCAGCCCCCAAGAGCUCCACGGACUCUGCCAGUAGCUGCUUUAAAGGAGGGAGGGAGUUUUCUGAUCCUCUGGACAUCCCUGGGGCUGGAGCUAUGGGCUGAGCCAUAGGAGAGCCAGCCCAGCUCCCUGGGGGUUGGGGGCUGUGUCUCUCCAUCCCUUAGUAAAAAUACAGCAACUCCCAACUCAAAGUCAAGGGUCAAUAGUCACAAAACCUUGGUGCAGCCUGGAACAGGCAUAGAGGUCUCAGCAGAGCUGCCCAAGGACAAGACCUAAGAUCCAGCAGGGAACUAUGUAGUCACCCCGAGAGGCCCAGCUCUCUCCGUGAGCUCUGGGCCUAGGGUGGGGGUGGUUGUUGGUUCUGCGCGCACUGUUCCCCCUACAUGAUGGGUCCAUCCCAGUUGGCUUCUCUCACUCGCUUCCUCCUGUGGAGAAGCCUGUCCAGGUGUCACUGCCUCCAGGAAGCUGUCUCUGAUUUCUCCAGUUGAACAGUGAGAUUUGCCACACCUCACAUGCAUCGCUCUUGUCCCUGGAAUUGUAACCAUAGGUUUUCCUGUCUCCUGGAGGACAAGGAUGAGGGCUUUCCACUUGAGUCUCCCUGGUGGAGCCCAGCUCCUGACAUACCUGGUAAAAGUUCUCAAGAGAAGAACAUGGAGGAGGAAUGUGGAUAACAACCCUGGCUGCCUGUGUGUUCCAAGCUAGGAAGAUGUAAUGUCCCCACAAACGGGGUAAAUGGCUUGCCUGCGUCACAGCUGUCUCAAGCCCAGGCCCUGGGUGCCAGCCCAAGCCCAAGGACUAGGUCCAGAGCCACACAGCGCCAGGCCACAUCCGCCUCACCUGGGACCUUUUGUGGGGUACAGUCUCCGGCCCCACCCAGACCUGCUGAAGGAGAGACCCCAUGGCAAGGACUCAGCCACCUGCAGUUUCAUAAGCCCCCAGUGGGUUCCUAGGCAUGAAGACCACCGGUUAGAGGCUGAACUGGCAGGAACCUGUCUCCAGCCCCUUCUCACCCCAGCCGGGCCCUGCCUCAGAGGCAGCACCCAGGACGUGGCCAUGACCCGUGGACUCCACUCAAUCCCUCUUCUCCAGGAGCCAUGCAAAGUGUCAGCCAGCCAGGCCCCUGGAAGGCAGUCAUCACCUCUUAAGGCAUUGCGGGUGUCGGUCCUGCAACUGCCAGGUGCAGCACACGACCCAUGUCCGGUGUUCGAUAGCAGGGAGCCAUGACCUGGCAACGAUUCCACGCUCAAAGGGGCACCCGGGGGGCCCUGGGUCGGGGCGGAUCAGCUUUCCCUGGGCACAUCUGCCUCAUUCCAGAUCUCCAGGGCUCAUGUCUGUGACAGGGAGGGAAGGCUCUGCCCUGGCCUUCCGUCAGCUCUGCCAGUGCAGGCUGGGCAGCCUGGGCUUUAGAGCUGGCUUCUGCCCACACUUUCUCCGUGAAAGGAAAACAACUAUGAGUCUGCCAAACGCAUCUCAGAUGCGUUUUAAAAAAUUCUGGUCCCCGCUCUCUGUCCCAUCAUCUGCCUCGGGGACUUCCUCUCUCCGUGGUUCUCACCCCAUACUCUGUCACUGCCACAUUUUCACCUGGGCCUGGCCUUUGUCUCCACCUGAA